GGAGUCUGGGCCGUGUCUCAGUCCCAAUGUGGCCGUUCAACCUCUCAGUCCGGCUACUGAUCGUCGACUUGGUGAGCCGUUACCUCACCAACUAUCUAAUCAGACGCGAGCCCAUCUUUGAGUGAUAAAUCUUUGAUAAUAGUAUCAUGCGGUACCAUUAUGUUAUGAGGUAUUACCAUCCGUUUCCAGAAGCUAUCCCUCUCUCAAAGGUAGGUUGCUCACGUGUUACUCACCCGUCCGCCACUAAGAUUACCUAAGUAAACUCAAAUAAUCUCCGUUCGACUUGCAUGUGUUAAGCGUGCCGCCAGCGUUCGUC
rnacentral:rRNA from 1 species